GAUAAAUAGACAUCCUUCCGCACAUUGCGGAUGUAGAUCUAUUCAUCACUGAUUCAGUGAAGAAUUAUAUUUUUUAUGCGUAGAAAAGUGAUUUUGUUUUUCUCGUUACUUUAAUUAUAAAAAAGAUAUUUUUUAAAAUAACUAUUCGACAUUUAUUUAAUAUUUAAGCAAAAGUAUAGACGGCCAAUUAGCUUGGAUUGUCUGUGCUAUGGUGACAUGUGAGGAGUACAGUCAUGUUUAAUUUGGAUUUAAAUGUACAUGUAAGAUUAACGAGGAAUUAAUAACACGUUGUAAUGGAGCAAAAAGUGUUGUUUUUUUUCUAUUUCCUCAGUUUGUGAAACGUAUAAAGUGAAGAGAAAAUAAGCAAAACAUGUAUGCAAUAUAAAACAGUUAGAAGCAACUAAGUAACAUCAAACAGAUACAAAAUGUCGACUGUAUAUAACUCAGCAUCGAUAGAAAGUACAGACACGACUGAAGUGACAACUCUAGAAACUGGUAACGUAAAUUAUACAUCACAAGAAACUUCAACCUUUACGGACACUACAGUGACUACAGUGACUGGAUUCAUUACAGAAGUAACGGACACCAAGACAGAACCAGUUAUAGUAACAGAUGUAACCAUAAAAGGAACAACCACUACAAAUCACACAACAGGUGUUUCGUCUACCAGCACCAGUCAUGAUAUUGUUACGGAUGUUACAUUUUACAGAAGUUCGGAACAGAAUACUGAUAGCACAUCUACAAUUUUAAGAACUACAACCAUCAACAUGGAAACAACGACAGCAAGUGAUUUUUCAGAUAAUUCAAGUCAAGUUUUAUUAGCCAACACGACUUCCAACUCGUCUGUCAUUACCGGUACCAGUGUUGACUCUGGCGUAGAAAUACAUAGAUUGUGUGAUAACUGUACAACAACAGUUGUAGUUGUAUCCUGUGUGUCAGCUGGCGUAGUAUUAUUGGUUCUGUUGAUGUCAGCGUUAUGUUUCUUCCGUCUACGUCAUAAAUGGAGAGCAAAGAUACAACUAGAACGCAAGAAGACAGAUAUUUGGUCAAUGGCAACUUACAAUAACACAAUAAUCAAUGAAAAUUUCGCCGAUUUUCAGUUGGCACCGCCAACUAACACAGAAAUGAGGAAGUCCUCAGGUUUCUCGGAGAAUUCUAUCCAGUUUUACGACCCUUUCACGAGUGACACGCCACAAACGCAGUUUUCAUCUAAUCAGGUCGUCAUGCGUAGCAACACACUUCCGCCGGAAGAACAAUUUGCCAAUUCCACGUUAAGAAGGAAUACUGUCAGUGCUCCUGAUGAGCUGGAAUUGUCACCUCAAGCGUUCAAAGGACCGGAUUCGCUCGGUUUUAGUGAUAACAGAUAUACUUUAAGAGGUCGCUCGUCCACAUUUACCGUGGGCAGAAAACAAAAUGUAGACCGACACAUUCUGCUGAGUCAUGAAGAACUGGUUGGAGACCAGUCAGCUGCUGAAAACAUUGGUGCAGUAUACAAGACGCCAACAAGUAGCUAUAAUAUGACAGAACUCUAACCCUUACCUAGCUAAAUUUCUAUAAUGAACUUGUCCAUCUUCCAGUUUGGACAGUACCAUUAACUGUUAAAAGGGUAGCUUAGCAAAACGAUACUGGCUGAAUAGCUAACAGUGCAGAUCAUGAUCAGAAGGCACGGAUGUGCAGGCUGACCAUGAUCUACACUGGUCACAAAGGCAGAAUCAAUCGUGUCCAGUAUGGUAAGGGUUAGGCGGUUUUGUAAAGGAGUUUUGGGCGAGAGUGGUGAUUUUCUAAAUCAGUAGAAAUUAAUACAACAUAUACUCGACAACUUUUCUAACUCAACACCUGUGUUUCUGUUUUUAUCUGUACCAAAUUUUGUCGGAUUUGAACUAAAUUUGGACAAAAUGUUAAAUGAUUACUAACAUAACGCAUUUAGCCGAACCAAAUACAGUAAGGUAACCCUUAAACAAAAGUAGCAUAAUUAGUAAAUCCCAUGAAAAUCAUCAUCAACCUAUGAAAUGGUACAUACGUCAAUAUCUUUAAUAUAAACUAUAAAUUUCGUAUCAGUUUCGUGACGUCACUGACAGGUAACAUUUACAUUUACGGAUGGUAUGGCGUCAAAGUAAAUCACGUAGGUAACAACUUUUUCAAAUUUAAACAGCAAAACUAGAGAAUGGAGACCAACCUUGGCAUUGGUCAAUUGAAAUACAAUGCUAAGAAUUAGCCAAGUAAAUGCUGUAGAUGUGAGACUGUUUUUCAAUUUGACUUUGCACCCAGAUCAUCAGUCCUCGAAGCCAGAAAAAGGCAGACACAGUCUGAUGAAGUAACAGCAAGAACUUAAAAAUAAAAGAAUAGACAAUUCUAAUUCAUUUUGUAUUUCAUGUAUUAUACACCUUGUUCUACAUUUAAUGCAUUAAAACACAAUAUCGAACA
rnacentral:misc_RNA from 1 species